GUAAUGGCAGGUCAGCAUACUGCCGUGAAUACGUUCCCGGGCCUUGUACACACCGCCCGUCACACCAUGAGAGUUGGGGAUACCCGAAGCCUGUGAGCCAACUUUUAGAGGCAGCAGUCGAAGGUAGAAUCAAUGAUUGGGGUGAAGUCGUAACAAGGUAUC
rnacentral:rRNA from 1 species